rnacentral:rRNA from 1 species
UGAGGAAUAUUGCGCAAUGGGGGCAACCCUGACGCAGCAACGCCGCGUGAGUGAGGAAGGUUUUCGGACCGUAAAGCUCUGUCGAGCGGGAAGAAAUGCAUGGUGGCUAAUAUCCAUCAUGCUUGACGGUACCGCUGAAGGAAGCACCGGCUAACUCCGUGCCAGCAGCCGCGGUAAUACGGGGGGUGCGAGCGUUGUUCGGAAUUAUUGGGCGUAAAGAGCGUGUAGGCGGCCGAAUAAGUCAGAUGUGAAAUCCCUGGGCUUAAGCCAGGACGUGCAUUUGAAACUAUUCGGCUAGAGUAGGGGAGAGGAAAGUGGAAUUCCUGGUGUAGAGGUGAAAUUCGUAGAUAUCAGGAGGAAUACCGGUGGCGAAGGCGACUUUCUGGCCCUAUACUGACGCUGAGACGCGAGAGCGUGGGUAGCAAACAG